rnacentral:rRNA from 1 species
CAGUCGCCACGGUAAUACGGAGGGAGCUAGCGUUGUUCGGAAUUACUGGGCGUAAAGCGCACGUAGGCGGUUAUUCAAGUCAGAGGUGAAAGCCCGGGGCUCAACCCCGGAACUGCCUUUGAAACUAGAUGACUGGAAUCUUGGAGAGGUCAGUGGAAUUCCGAGUGUAAAGGUGAAAUUCGUAGAUAUUCGGAAGAACACCAGUGGCGAAGGCGGCUGACUGGACAUGUAUUGACGCUGAGGUGCGAAAGCGUGGGGAGCAAACAGGAUUAGAUACCCCAGUAGUCCCUGUCUCUUAUCA